GAGAUCUUGCUGCUACGAUUUAUCAAAAUGCCAUAAAAAACUUCAAGCGUAAAUGUUUAUUUCGAAUGUCAGUACACUGACUGAUAAAAUUAUUACAGUGAAAUUGAUAUCAGACCGCAAUCAUUUUAGAAGGUUUAAAUGCCAAAGCAACCAAAUAUCUGUUUUGUUUAACUUUUCAGCCAACUACAGCCCCGUUCAAAACUAUAGCGAGAAUGUAUAAAGUUCAUUUGCCGGUGGACAACCUUUCCAAUGUGGCAGUGGAACGCCGACUGGCCACGGAGGCUGCGCUCCAGGCUCGGAUCUUCAACAUUGGAGAGAAGAGAACUGGAGGAGAUGGAGGGUCAAUGAGAGAAGGUCAUCGAUGACAUUUUGGAGACUAAGGGAGAUUGAAAAGCAGAGAGCCGCUGCCUGGGACUUCCAGCGCACGGAGCAGAACAGAGAGGACGAAGAGGAGGAGAGGAAAGCAAUGGAGCUGCAGAAGGAGGAGAGGAUUGAGAUGGACCUAUACGACAAACGGCUGGCCAGAGAGCAGCACAAAUGUCUCCACCAGUCAGCGGUACCUGGCCAAGCAGCUGUACACCAGCCGACCCACAGCCCAGAACCACCCUGGUUCAGCAGCAGCUCACGCUGGGGGAUCACCAGCACAGACUCACCGCACAUUACAGGAUCUCAGAUUCAGACGAUAGGCACAACACAACAAUAAAAUCAAGUUUAUUGGCACAUGUGUUCAUGUCUUUUAUCCCUAAGAUUUAGUUACUAGGUCAAAUGUUGCAGUGUUCUGCAACUUAUUCUCUCAGGAGCUGUAUUUUAGGUAUAAAAUGACUAUCU